rnacentral:lncRNA from 1 species
CUGCACUGUGUUUAUACUUGUGUGUUUCUGUCUUUGCAUUCUUGUGUAUGUAUGACAGCAUGUGUAGUCACAACAUGCUCCUACAUCCUCUACGCUGUGUAAAUUUUAUUCUACACAAGCGUUCAUAUUACAUUCAUCUGUAUCCGCAUCAGAAGUUGCUCACAGUAAUAUGAGGCAUUAUUUGUGUUGGCCAAUGUUUGAUACAUAAUGUCCUUCAUGCUUUUGAUAUUUCCGUUUCUGUUGCUUUCCUUUCAAGUACCUUGCCGCUCAUCUAGUGACGAGGUUUAUCUGCUUUCAGG